rnacentral:rRNA from 1 species
AACGAACGCUGGCGGCAUGCCUAACACAUGCAAGUCGAACGAGACCUUCGGGUCUAGUGGCGGACGGGUGAGUAACGCGUGGGAACCUGCACUUCAGUGGGGGAUAACGACGGGAAACUGUCGCUAAUACCGCAUACGCCCUACGGGGGAAAGAUUUAUCGCUGAAGGAUGGGCCCGCGUCGGAUUAGCUAGUUGGUGAGGUAAUGGCUCACCAAGGCGACGAUCCGUAGCUGGUCUAAGAGGAUGAUCAGCCACACUGGGACUGAGACACGGCCCAGACUCCUACGGGAGGCAGCAGUGGGGAAUAUUGGACAAUGGGGGAAACCCUGAUCCAGCAAUGCCGCGUGAGUGAUGAAGGCCUUAGGGUUGUAAAGCUCUUUCGGUGGUGACGAUGAUGACGGUAACCACAGAAGAAGCCCCGGCUAACUUCGUGCCAGCCGCCGCCGUAA